AGAGUUUGAUUAUGGCUCAGGACGAACGCUGGCGGCGUGCUUAACACAUGCAAGUCGAGCGAUGAAGCUUCUUUCGGGAAGUGGAUUAGCGGCGGACGGGUGAGUAACACGUGGGCAACCUGCCUCAAAGAGAGGGAUAGCCCUCCGAAAGGAGGAUUAAUACCUCAUAAAGUUAGAAUUUCGCAUGAAAUUUUAACCAAAGGAGUAAUCUGCUUUGAGAUGGGCCCGCGCCCCAUUAGCUAGUUGGUAAGGUAAUAGCUUACCAAGGCAACGAUGGGUAGCCGACCUGAGAGGGUGAUCGGCCACAUUGGAACUGAGAUACGGUCCAGACUCCUACGGGAGGCAGCAGUGGGGAAUAUUGCGCAAUGGGGGAAACCCUGACGCAGCAACGCCGCGUGGGUGAUGAAGGUUUUCGGAUCGUAAAACCCUGUUUUCUGGGACGAUAAUGACGGUACCAGAUGAGGAAGCCACGGCUAACUACGUGCCAGCAGCCGCGGUAAUACGUAGGUGGCAAGCGUUGUCCGGAUUUAUUGGGCGUAAAGGGUGCGUAGGCGGAUGUUUAAGUGAGAUGUGAAAUACCUAAGCUUAACUUAGGGGCUGCAUUUCAAACUGGGCAUCUAGAGUACAGGAGAGGGAAACGGAAUUCCUAGUGUAGCGGUGAAAUGCGUAGAGAUUAGGAAGAACACCAGUGGCGAAGGCGGUUUCCUGGACUGUAACUGACGCUGAGGCACGAAAGCGUGGGUAGCAAACAGGAUUAGAUACCCUGGUAGUCCACGCCGUAAACGAUGAAUACUAGGUGUAGGAGGGUCCAACCUUCUGUGCCGCAGUUAACACAUUAAGUAUUCCGCCUGGGGAGUACGGUCGCAAGACUAAAACUCAAAUGAAUUGACGGGG
rnacentral:rRNA from 1 species